AGUAACACGUGAGUAACCUGCCUUUCACUCUGGGAUAAGCCUUGGAAACGAGGUCUAAUACUGGAUAUGACUUACUGCCGCAUGGUGGUGGGUGGAAAGCCUUCGGGUGGUGGAUGAUGGACUCGCGGACUAUCAGCUUGUUGGUGGGGUUGUGGCCUACCAAGGCAAUGACGGUUAGCCGGCCUGAGAGGGUGACCGGCCACAUUGGGACUGAGACACGGCCCAG
rnacentral:rRNA from 1 species